CGAAAGGUCGAAGGGAGAAAUUCAUUCGCGUUUCGCAGUCGGCGUGAGACGGUCGUGUGACGGAAAACGUUCGCGUUUUCCGCACCUUCCGUUUUUCGAUCCGAUAGCGAACGCGUGCACUUUUCUCCUGGUAGGACGUCGCGAUCCGUUGGGUGUCGGUCUACGGCUCGUGGUGGAGCCCGAACGGUACGGCUUGCCGUCACGUUCGGACCCACGUGUCCCGGCUGACUCGCUCGACGGUAUACGAAAGGUUUAAGGCCGCUAUUUUGAUAGCGUUCGGCUUGUCGCAAGCGCGUCAGAUGUGUCGGCGAUCGGACCUAGUGCCGGUUCUGACCUCUGGCGACUGUUGGCGGCGAAGUUCUCGGACAGACCUUCUAACCGAUCUGCGACGCUAUAGCUUUGGGUACUUUCAGGACCCGUCUUGAAACACGGACCAAGGAGUCUAGCAUGUGCGCGAGUCAUUGGGAAUCACUAAACCUAAAGGCGCAAUGAAAGUAAAGGUCCGCCUCGCGCGGACUGAGGGAGGACGAACGGUUUACCCUUAAAAGUGGCCGUUCCGCACUCCCGGGGCGUCUCAUUCUCAUCGCGAGAAGAGGCGCACCAAGAGCGUACACGCUGGGACCCGAAAGAUGGUGAACUAUGCCUGGUCAGGACGAAGUCAGGGGAAACCCUGAUGGAGGUCCGUAGCGAUUCUGACGUGCAAAUCGAUCGUCGGAACUGGGUAUAGGGGCGAAAGACUAAUCGAACCAUC
rnacentral:rRNA from 1 species